CUGGCCAUGAUCGUCCGUGGCGAGGGAGAAAUAUUUGGAUCGCCAGGGCCGGGAUUUUCUUGGAUCGGCUGCUGGAUUAUUACGGCUUCACCUCUCUUGCGAUAGUGUCGAUGCAUGAGCGCGUCAAGUGGAUUUUCCAGCGCUGUUGGCGUGAUCGUCGUACUGGUGAACUUGGUUCUCAUCUAUCAGCUGAGAAUCCGGAUCGAGCUCCGGCACUCCAGCAAAUUGGUAAGAUGCCUUCUAACUUACGUAUGAAGCAGGAACAAGCCGAGCUUCCACUAUCUCGCCCUCGAAUUCACAGCCACUGCAAAUAGUUCUAGCGGUAGGAAGCCCUCAAAUCAAUCCACUACUGUUCAAGUCUUCGAUGCAAUGAAAAAGAGGAGCUCGGGCUUUGCAUCGACAUGGUUGCAGUCAACAACAUAAUCCGGUGCUAUAGAAGCGUGAUCCAGGAUGCUCUUGACCUCCAAACUGGGAAACUCUGUGGUACCAUCGGGAUUCUGGUUGCUGGCAAGCAUGGGAGCUUCGUGGAAUUUUUCGACAGUCUCAUAACGAAGAUUUUACCAGAUCCAAUUGGCCAAAUAUAUCUAGAAGAGAAGGACAGGGAUUCGUGACGAGCCACAACUAUAAAUCGGCAUUGCUGGGUCCGUAAGUGAUGCUCGCUCCAUCAUAAGGGUACUGAAGAUUGAAAUCUCAA